AUCAGUUAGCAAAGGAAAAGCAUUGGCCUGUCUGGAUUAAUUGACAGAGUGAGUGAGUAGGGCACCUGAUAUGGGCAUCCUUGGCCUCCCUAGAGCCAAGGCAAGCUUGCUUGGUAGGCUUGAGGCUAUUUCAAGCCUAUAAGGAAAGUAUUCGCUUCUCCAUGGAACAAACAGCCUCAAAGGCUUCUCUGUGCUCAGAAAAAUGCAGAUGAGUCAGAUCUCUAAAAAGAUGGACAUCGUUUCAGGCCAGGCAAAGGAUCCUUUAGUACCUCAUGGAGUUCAUCAGCUGAUGAAACAAUGCAUUAUUUGUCCAAGUGGGUCUCUACAAUGUGAUUUGAACUGCUGGGGUGUGCACAGACACAGAACUGCCCUGGAGGGAAAGAGGAGGAAGCAAGAUACAAUAACUGUGAUUUCUGAGAAACUUGGCAAGGAAAUGAAACAAUAAUGGAGCAGAACAUCAACAGUUCCAGGCAGUACAUUGCUGGUUUUUUCAAGAACUUGUGGUCAUUAUGGAAGAUAAAUGACAGUCCUUGGAGCUCAUGGCUGAAGCACACAUUAGUCACUGGUAAAUGAUGUAUAAAAAAUAUUCAGCUUGCAAAAAGAUAAUGGUGGUUCCUAUUUGAAAAUGCAGAAAAAUGCACAUAUCUGGAGCACAAAAGUGUCUCAUCAAUAUCUCUGUGGGUAUAAAACUAACCUGUCAAGAGGAAAAUGUUGAGGAGAUGGAGAUAUUUAUGCACGCACAGCACUGAUCAUAAUGAUGUAAAGGACUAUUAAAACAAACUUAAAAUAUUAGAUACCGCAAAUACACAACUUAAUUGUUUUUUUUUUUUCCAUGCAACUUAGGAAUGCUCUAAGAAAUUUCAAUUAGGAAUUUCUCAUUCUAUGUUUUUGACCGCCGGUAAUCCUAUCUUUCCCCAUUUCACUGUUAUCUGUAAGUUAAGUAGUUAUUCUGUAUUUGACCUUUUAUUACUGGCAAAGUCUCCCACAGUGCUAGGACUUGCAUGGAGGAAGACCAGAGGACAGAGUUUGUCUUGGUAGCUGGCAUUGCCAGGGCUGUAGCAGCAUCUGUGACACGGAGAUACAGUGACCUUAUGCCUACAGUCCUCCUUGGCCCUCUUCUAGAUGAUGAUCAUAGAAUCAUAGAAUCAUUAAGGUUGGAAAAGACCACUAAGAUC
rnacentral:lncRNA from 1 species